rnacentral:piRNA from 1 species
UGGCUAAAGAACUCCGAUUGGUGCUG